rnacentral:rRNA from 1 species
UACGUAGGGUGCAAGCGUUAAUCGGAAUUACUGGGCGUAAAGGGAGCGUAGGCGGACAUUUAAGUCAGGGGUGAAAUCCCAGAGCUCAACUCUGGAACUGCCUUUGAUACUGGAUGUCUUGAGUGUGAGAGAGGUAUGUGGAACUCCGAGUGUAGAGGUGAAAUUCGUAGAUAUUCGGAAGAACACCAGUGGCGAAGGCGACAUACUGGCUCAUUACUGACGCUGAGGCUCGAAAGCGUGGGGAGCAAACAGG